GAUGAAGAACGUAGCGAAAUGCGAUAAGUAAUGUGAAUUGCAGAAUUCAGUGAAUCAUCGAAUCUUUGAACGCACAUUGCGCCCGUCAGUAUUCUGGCGGGCAUGCCUGUUCGAGCGUCAUUACGCCCCUCAAGUCCCCUGUGGACUUGGUGUUGGGGAUCGGCGAGGCUGGUUUUCCAGCACAGCCGUCCCUUAAAUUAAUUGGCGGUCUCGCCGUGGCCCUCCUCUGUGCAGUAGUAAAACACUCGCAACAGGAGCCCGGCGCGGUCCACUGCCGUAAAACCCCCCAACUUUUUAUAGUUGACCUCGAAUCAGGUAGGACUACCCGCUGAACUUAAGCAUAUCAAUAAGCGGAGGA
rnacentral:misc_RNA from 1 species